GGAGAUGUACCCAAGUGGCUGAAGGGUCCGCACUCGAAAUGCGGUAGGUCGGGCAACCGGCGCGAGGGUUCAAAUCCCUCCAUCUCCG
rfam:Blautia sp. CAG:237 genomic scaffold, scf125